GAUGAAGAACGCAGCGAAAUGCGAUAAGUAGUGUGAAUUGCAGAAUUCAGUGAGUCAUCGAAUCUUUGAACGCACAUUGCGCCCCUUGGUAUCCCGAGGGGCAUGCCUGUUCGAGCGUCAUUUCACCACUCAAGCCUGGCUUGGUGUUGGGCGACGUCCCCUUUGGGGACGCGCCUCGAAACGCUCGGCGGCGUGGCACCGGCUUUAAGCGUAGCAGAAUCUUUCGCUUUGGAAGUCGGGGCCCCGUCUGCCGGAAGACCUACUCGCAAGGUUGACCUCGGAUCAGGCAGGGAUACCCGCUGAACUUAAGCAUAUCAAUAAGCGGAGGA
rnacentral:misc_RNA from 1 species